rnacentral:rRNA from 1 species
AAGCCCGGGGCUCAACCCCGGAAAUGCCGUUGAUAAUGCGGGGCUGGAAUACGGAUGCCGUGGGAGGAAUGAGUAGUGUAGCGGUGAAAUGCAUAGAUAUUACUCAGAACACCGAUUGCGAAGGCAUCUCACGAAUCCGUUAUUGACGCUGAGGCACGAAAGCGUGGGGAUCAAACAGGAUUAGAUACCCUGGUAGUCCACGCAGUAAACGAUGAUAACUAACCGUCGGCGAUACACAGUCGGUGGCCAAGCGAAAGCGAUAAGUUAUCCACCUGGGGAGUACGUUCGCAAGAAUGAAACUCAAAGGAAUUGACGGGGGCCCGCACAAGCGGAGGAACAUGUGGUUUAAUUCGAUGAUACGCGAGGAACCUUACCCGGGCUCGAACGGCAUAUGAACGAGACAGAGAUGUUUCGGUCCUUCGGGACAUAUGUCGAGGUGCUGCAUGGUUGUCGUCAGCUCGUGUCGUGAGAUGUUGGCUUAAGUGCCAUAACGAGCGCAACCCUUGCCGAUAGUUACCAUCAAGUAAAGUUGGGGACUCUAUCGGGACUGCCACCGCAAGGUGAGAGGAAGGCGGGGAUGACGUCAAAUCAGCACGGCCCUUACGUCCGGGGCGACACACGUGUUACAAUGGUAGCUACAGAGGGAAGCCAGCUGGUGACAGUGAGCGGAUCUCGAAAAGCUAUCUCAGUUCGGAUUGGAGUCUGCAACUCGACUCCAUGAAGCUGGAUUCGCUAGUAAUCGCGCAUCAGCCAUGGCGCGGUGAAUACGUUCCCGGGCCUUGCACACACCGCCCGUCAAG